rnacentral:rRNA from 1 species
GAUGAACGCUGGCGGCGUGCUUAACACAUGCAAGUCGAACGGUGAAAGAGAGCUUGCUCUCUGGAUCAGUGGCGAACGGGUGAGUAACACGUGAGCAAUCUGCCCCUGACUCUGGGAUAAGCGCUGGAAACGGCGUCUAAUACCGGAUACGAGCUGCGAAGGCAUCUUCAGCAGCUGGAAAGAACUUCGGUCAGGGAUGAGCUCGCGGCCUAUCGGCUAGUUGGUGAGGUAAUGGCUCACCAAGGCGUCGACGGGUAGCCGGCCUGAGAGGGUGACCGGCCACACUGGGACUGAGACACGGCCCAGACUCCGACGGGAGGCAGCAGUGGGGAAUAUUGCACAAUGGGCGCAAGCCUGAUGCAGUAACGCCGCGUGAGGGACGACGGCCUUCGGGUUGUAAACCUCUUUUAGCAGGGAAGAAGCGAAAGUGACGGUACCUGCAGAAAAAGCACCGGCUAACUACGUGCCAGCCGCCGCGGUAAAAC